AAGACUAUACUUCACAGGAUUAUUUCUGUAGUCAGUCUUGUGGAUUGACAAUUCACAAGUCGCAAAGAGGAACUUUCAAUGAAAUUGUUUACUAUGUAUUAUGAAAAAG
rnacentral:snoRNA from 1 species